rnacentral:tRNA from 1 species
GAGGGUAUAGCUCAGUGGUAGAGCACGUGCCUAGCAUGCAUGAGGUCCUGGGUUCAAUCCCUAGUACCUCCA